rnacentral:tRNA from 10 species
GGGCCCAUAGCUCAGUUGGUUAGAGCGCGUCCCUGAUAAGGACGAGGUCAGAAGUUCGACUCUUCUUGGGCCCACCA